GACGAACGCUGGCGGCGUGCCUAAUACAUGCAAGUUGAGCGCUGAAGGUUGGUACUUGUACCAACUGGAUGAGCAGCGAACGGGUGAGUAACGCGUGGGGAAUCUGCCUUUGAGCGGGGGACAACAUUUGGAAACGAAUGCUAAUACCGCAUAAAAACUUUAAACACAAGUUUUAAGUUUGAAAGAUGCAAUUGCAUCACUCAAAGAUGAUCCCGCGUUGUAUUAGCUAGUUGGUGAGGUAAAGGCUCACCAAGGCGAUGAUACAUAGCCGACCUGAGAGGGUGAUCGGCCACAUUGGGACUGAGACACGGCCCAAACUCCUACGGGAGGCAGCAGUAGGGAAUCUUCGGCAAUGGACGAAAGUCUGACCGAGCAACGCCGCGUGAGUGAAGAAGGUUUUCGGAUCGUAAAACUCGGUUGGUAGAGAAGAACGUUGGUGAGAGUGGAAAGAUCAUCAAGUGACGGUAACUACCCAGAAAGGGACGGCUAACUACGUG
rnacentral:rRNA from 1 species